AAGGUUAAUGGGUUGUCAUAAGUUUGCUAAACUUCUUGAUCUAAGAUUCGAAUUCUUAGUAACCUUG
rnacentral:tRNA from 1 species